rnacentral:rRNA from 1 species
GACGAAGGUGGCAACCGUUGCUCGGAAUCACUGGGCAUAAAGCGCACGUAGGUGGCUAAGUAAGUCGGUGGUGAAAUCCCUUGGCUCAACCAAGGAAGUGCCAUCGAUACUGCCAUGCUUGAGGACGGGAGGGGUGAGUGGAACUCUUGGUGUAGCGGUGAAAUGCGUAGAUAUCAAGAGGAACGCCGGUGGCGAAAGCGACUCACUGGACCGAUCCUGACACUGAGGUGCGAAAGCUAGGGGAGCAAACAGG